rnacentral:misc_RNA from 1 species
CUUAAAUUUAUUAUAAUAUUAUCCUUUUGCAUUUUAUGCAUGAUUGAUUCGAAACGAAAGAAAACCAAAAGCUUUGUUACUUCCUUGAUUAUAUCAUCUGUUCUGGAAUUAUUUGGUCAUAGUCCCACUUAAAUUUCACUGUUAACGAUACCCUCUAAAUUACCAUGCAUGCAUAGGACAAACUCCUUGAAUUUCUUUUCUUUUCUUUUUUGAUAAAUUAUUUUUCUAAUGCACUGUAAAAUAAAUAUUUUUUACCAUUGAGUAAUGAUAUUGGUCCAACAUAUGCAUGGGAAUGGGAUUAAUAUUUAGCACCCAAACCAACAUUAUCGUUGGUAAAAGUUUCCAUCAUGUAGGUCCCUAUUGGCAGCAUCAUAAUAACUUCAUCAUCCUACCUUUCUUUUCCUCUUUCAGAGAAGCAGUUUUCAGUAACUAAUUAGCACUAGUAGUGCUACUGCUACUUCUAUUAGCAGAAGAGUUCAAUUAAUUUUCUCUAAUUGUAUGCCAUUGAUUAAUUCUACUUUUGCAGGUAUCCACCUUGCACUCCUCGCUAUGGGUACCACCAGGCUAUCUAUAACACACAAGUUCAACACCCACAAUACUAUCAUCAAGUGUAUGGAACAUCAUCAUCCGCGAUGGGCUCACCAUACUACUAUCAUGGUUACUCUUUGCAACCUCCAAGGGAAGCACGUUCUGCACCUCAACCUCUACGUUUACCAGGACCACCCUCCUAUUUUUACUACCCUAGCAGUACUUUCGACCCAUCCUUCUCUACGUAUCCUCCUCCGCCUACUAUUCAACCCACAAGGCAUCCCUUCCCUUCUUCUACUGAUUCGCAGCAGACUCCACAGCAUCCCACAACAGAAACAGAAGCUGGUGUGGUUACUUCGGAAAUUUCAAAUCCUUAGCUUAAAGAAAGAAUUCAUCAUCAACAUAUACAUGAUUCGAUGAAAAUUUUAUUUGUGUAAUCUCCAUAACUUGGUGGUCUUCAUCUCUGAUGUCCUAUGUUCUCAGCAUUUCCUUUAUCUUUUAACCACUCCACAGAGAGAUUAUAUUCAACUUCUCUCCAGCUGCUGCAGCAAAGGAUUCGGACUAAUGAACCAGCUUAUGCAGAUCUUUAAUUAUUUAUUUUUUUCCCAUGUUAAUUUGAGUUAAUCAUUCUUAUAAAGUAUACAAAUUUUAACAUCUUGAACAAAAUCUGUAUGAACAGAAAGUAGGGAAGUACAGUACUCCCUCAAUAAGAAAUUUUGUUAAAACAGUCAGGUCUCCGAUUUCUGUCCUUUUGGUUGGAAAUCUAUGUAGGGAAAACAAAAAAAU